CUGGCUCAGGAUGAACGCUAGCGGCAGGCUUAACACAUGCAAGUCGAGGGGCAGCGCGAGUAGCAAUACUUGGCGGCGACCGGCGCAAGGGUGCGUAACGCGUGAGCAACAUGCCCGUAUCAGGGGGAUAAUCCAGGGAAACUUGGUCUAAUACCCCAUAGUAAUUUUUGUAAGGCAUCUUAUAAGAUUUAAAGCUUUGGUGGAUACGGAUUGGCUCGCGUGACAGUUAGUUGGAUGGGUAAGGUAACGGCUUACCAUGGCUAUGAUGUCUAGGGGUUCUGAGAGGAAGGUCCCCCCACACUGGAACUGAGACACGGUCCAGACUCCUACGGGAGGCAGCAGUGAGGAAUAUUGGACAAUGGAUGGAAAUCUGAUCCAGCCAUGCCGCGUGAAGGAAGAAAGGUCCUAUGGAUUGUAAACUUCUUUUGUAUGGGAGCAAUAAGGCCUACGAGUAGGUUGAUGAGAGUACCAUACGAAUAAGCACCGGCUAACUCCGUGCCAGCAGCUGC
rnacentral:rRNA from 1 species